rnacentral:rRNA from 1 species
ACGGGAGGCAGCAGUGAGGAAUAUUGGUCAAUGGGCGGAAGCCUGAACCAGCCAAGUCGCGUGAGGGAAGACGGCCCUAUGGGUUGUAAACCUCUUUUUUGCGGGAAUAAAGUGCUUCAUGCGUGAGGUUUUGUAUGUACCGCAAGAAUAAGGAUCGGCUAACUCCGUGCCAGCAGCCGCGGUAAUACGGAGGAUCCGAGCGUUAUCCGGAUUUAUUGGGUUUAAAGGGUGCGCAGGCGGCUUUUUAAGUCAGUGGUUAAAUCGUGACGCUCAACGUCAUCACGCCAUUGAUACUGGAGAGCUUGAUUGCGGUCGAGGUUUGCGGAAUUCGUUGUGUAGCGGUGAAAUGCAUAGAUAUGACGAAGAACACCGAUUGCGUAGGCAGCAGACCAGGCCGUAAAUGACGCUCAUGCACGAAAGUGCGGGGAUCGAACAGGAUUAGAUACCCUGGUA